rnacentral:rRNA from 1 species
GGAGGGAGCGAGCGUUGUUCGGAAUCACUGGGCGUAAAGGGCGCGUAGGCGGCCGAGUAAGUCGUGUGUGAAAGACCGGGGCUCAACUCCGUGUACUGCAUGCGAUACUGCCCGGCUGGAGAAAGGUAGAGGCGAGUGGAAUUCCCGGUGUAGCGGUGGAAUGCGUAGAUAUCGGGAAGAACACCUGUGGCGAAGGCGGCUCGCUGGGCCUUUUCUGACGCUGAAGUGCGAAAGCGUGGGGAGCAAACAGGAUUAGAUACCCUGGUAGUCCACGCCGUAAACGAUGGGCACUAGGCGUUGGGAGGAUUGACCCUCUCAGUGCCGUAGCUAACGCGUUAAGUGCCCCCGCCUGGGGAUACGGCCGCAAGGCUG